UACGAACUGUGCAAACGUUAUUCGGAAUCACUGGGCUUAAAGGGUGCGUAGGCGGGCAUUUAAGUCAGUGGUGAAAUACCUGAGCUUAACUUGGGAACUGCCAUUGAUACUAUUUGUCUUGAAUGUCGUGGAGGUUAGCGGAAUAUGUCAUGUAGCGGUGAAAUGCUUAGAUAUGACAUAGAACACCUAUUGCGAAGGCAGCUAACUACGCGAAUAUUGACGCUGAGGCACGAAAGCGUGGGGAUCAAACAGG
rnacentral:rRNA from 1 species